rnacentral:lncRNA from 1 species
CCUGGGCAGAGGCAGGUCUCACAGUCCCAGGGCCUUGGGUCUGCUGCUGGGUGUGAUGAGUUAAUAAGGAGGGCAUGGUGUGCAGAAUGAGCUCGGGUCCUGGCCAUGGGACAUCUGGCCAGCGCUGUGCCCCUUGGAGCCCAUCUUUCCAUGGGAUCAGUAGAGUCCUUCUCUUGCAGCUGUUGGGAGAAUGAAACACAAUGGAAAGCC